rnacentral:rRNA from 1 species
GUGGCGAAAGCGGCUCUUUGGUCUGUAACUGACGCUGAGGCUCGAAAGCGUGGGGAGCGAACAGGAUUAGAUACCCUGGUAGUCCACGCCGUAAACGAUGAGUGUUAGGUGUUAGGUCCUUUCCGGGACUUAGUGCCGCAGCUAACGCAUUAAGCACUCCGCCUGGGGAGUACGACCGCAAGGUUGAAACUCAAAGGAAUUGACGGGGGCCCGCACAAGCGGUGGAGCAUGUGGUUUAAUUCGAAGCAACGCGAAGAACCUUACCAGGUCUUGACAUCCCGAUGCUAUUUCUAGAGAUAGGAAGUUUCUUCGGAACAUCGGUGACAGGUGGUGCAUGGUUGUCGUCAGCUCGUGUCGUGAGAUGUUGGGUUAGGUCCCGCAACGAGCGCAACCCUUAUUGUUAGUUGCCAUCAUUGAGUUGGGCACUCUAGCGAGACUGCCGGUAAUAAACCGGAGGAAGGUGGGGAUGACGUCAAAUCAUCAUGCCCCUUAUGACCUGGGCUACACACGUGCUACAAUGGCUGGUACAACGAGUCGCAAGCCGGUGACGGCAAGCUAAUCUCUGAAAGCCAGUCUCAGUUCGGAUUGUAGGCUGCAACUCGCCUACAUGAAGUCGGAAUCGCUAGUAAUCGCGGAUCAGCACGCCGCGGUGAAUACGUUCCCGGGCCUUGUACACACCGCCCGUCACACCACGAGAGUUUGUAACACCCGAAGUCGGUGAGGUAACCGUAAGGAGCCAGCCGCCUAAGGUGGGAUAGAU